rnacentral:rRNA from 1 species
GACGAACGCUGGCGGCGUGCUUAACACAUGCAAGUCGAACGAAGUGGCGAACGGGUGAGUAACGCGUAAUCAACCUGCCCUUCAGAGGGGUACAACAGUUGGAAACGACUGCUAAUACCGCAUAGUGAAGGAGGGGAUUGCGGCUGAUUAGCUGGGUGGAGGGGUAACGGCCCACCAAGGCGAUGAUCAGUAGCCGGUCUGAUAGGAUGAACGGCCACAUUGGGACUGAGACACGGCCCAGACUCCUACGGGAGGCAGCAGUGGGGAAUCUUCCACAAUGGACGAAAGUCUGACGGAGCAACGCCGCGUGAGUGAUGACGGCCUUCGGGUUGUAAAGCUCUGUUAAUCGGGACGCGGUACCGGAAUAGAAAGCCACGGCUAACUACGUGCCAGCAGCCGCGGUAAUAC